GUAGGGUGCAAGCGUUAAUCGGAAUUACUGGGCGUAAAGCGUGCGCAGGCGGUUAUGCAAGACAGAGGUGAAAUCCCCGGGCUCAACCUGGGAACUGCCUUUGUGACUGCAUGGCUAGAGUACGGUAGAGGGGGAUGGAAUUCCGCGUGUAGCAGUGAAAUGCGUAGAUAUGCAGAGGAACACCGAUGGCGAAGGCAAUCCCCUGGACCUGUACUGACGCUCAUGCACGAAAGCGUGGGGAGCAAACAGGAUUAGAUACCCUGGUAGUCAACGCCCUAAACGAUGUCAACUGGUUGUUGGGAGGGUUUCUUCUCAGUAACGUAGCUAACGCGUGAAGUUGACCGCCUGGGGAGUACGGCCGCAAGGUUG
rnacentral:rRNA from 1 species